AUUGCGCGUAGAUCUGUUGGCCGGUUCCUAAUGAGCUCCAAAACAGAGAAGCGCCAUGAUGUACCAUGGCUUGAGGAGAUGCAUAUGUCGGCAUUUCUUUGUGUAUUGCUGGAACAUGGUUUGCAUCACCACAUUCUAAGUGUAUAAUGUGAAGGUGGACAGUUCAGCAUAAUUACUAACGGAAUUUGAUACCUUUCAACGAAACGAUUCAAAAGAUAUAUGGAUGAUUAUAUGGGUGCGUGGCAAGUAUACUGCAAUGAUGAUGAAGUUCCAGUUCAUGAUGAUGAUGAUGAUGGAUGCUUUUGGUUUUGUUAAGUACUAGGGACAUUGUUGAUGUUGCUAGAUGAUGUUCCUCAGUUACGUUUUAGUUUAGUUGUAGGGAUGUUGAUGGAUUCUUUCAGUUAAAGUUUCGCUUCGCUGUGAAGAAAAUAUUUAGAUUAUGCAGCAUAUUUGGAUGAUGUUCCUCAUGUAAUAUCCACUACUGUAAUACAAAAGUUUUAUCCAAUAUAUGAUUUCUUCCCCUCCUGA